GAGGGUAUAGCUCAAGUGGCAGAGUGCAUGCUUAGCAUGCAUGAGGCUCUGGGUUCAAUCCCCAGUACCUCCU
rnacentral:tRNA from 1 species